UUGGCAGGGUGCAAUGUGGUGUUCGGGAGGGUCCAUUCGUGCCUUGAGCUCUGGUGUCCAAGUCCCCCUGACCGGGGCCAUCGCCCGUUGAGGGUGCAAGGCCUGUUGGGCAGGGCUGUGUCUCCGAUCUCGGCGCGUUGGGUCCCUUCCUUGGAGUCGGGUUGCUUGAGAGUGCAGCCCAAAGUGGGUGGUAAACUCCACCUAAGGCUAAAUACUUUCCACGAGACCGAUAGCAAACAAGUACCGUGAGGGAAAGUUGCAAAGAACUUUGAAGAGAGAGUUCAAGAGUGCGUGAAACCGUUCGGAGGUAAACGGGUGGGAGCGCGAAGGUCGAACGGACGGGGAGGGAUUCAACUUGGCGUGGCGGCUGGCCGAGCUGGUUCUGCGUCUGGGCGUGCUGGUCUCCCCUUGCGGGGAGUGCCGGCCACCCCGCGUUCUGCUCUGGCUUCAGUCUGCCGUGCCUUGUGCAUUUCCCUAUUCCCCCUCUCCUAGUAGGACGCCGCGACCGGCUGUCGAGGGGAGCCCAGGAGCUGGUUGGAGCAGUUGCGCGGACGAGCAAGGGAUUCGUUCUCUGCGUCCGGUCUGUCUGUCUCCUUCCGCCCGCGGGUCGCUCCCUCCGGCCGAGGAACUGUGCGAGCUGGGCCCUAGAGGUCCCUCGUCCAUGUGCGCGCCCACGAUCUGUCGGUGCGGGUCGAAAGAACCCCACGGGUGGCGGCGGGUGGCUGCGCGCCAGUCUCCGGACUGAGCGUGCGGACUCCGCGCGUCAGCCGCCGUCGGUCAGGGUGCGGACUCCCGCAGUUGGGCGCUGGGGGUCGGCGGCGAGUAGGUCGGUUUCCCACCCGACCCGUCUUGAAACACGGACCAAGAAGUCUAACGUGUGGGCGAGUCUUCGGGGACUUUUUGAACCCUUAGAAGGCGAAAUAAAAGUGAAGGCUGGGUCGCCUCGCUCUCCCCCUCGGGGGAUGAGCGUUGGUGGCCCGCCCGAGUGGGAUCCCCCGUCUGAUGGCGGGGGCG
rnacentral:rRNA from 1 species